GACGAACGCUGGCGGCGUGCCUAAUACAUGCAAGUUGAGCGCUGAAGGUUGGUACUUGUACCGACUGGAUGAGCAGCGAACGGGUGAGUAACGCGUGGGGAAUCUGCCUUUGAGCGGGGGACAACAUUUGGAAACGAAUGCUAAUACCGCAUAAAAACUUUAAACACAAGUUUUAAGUUUGAAAGAUGCAAUUGCAUCACUCAAAGAUGAUCCCGCGUUGUAUUAGCUAGUUGGUGAGGUAAAGGCUCACCAAGGCGAUGAUACAUAGCCGACCUGAGAGGGUGAUCGGCCACAUUGGGAUUGAGACACGGCCCAAACUCCUACGGGAGGCAGCAGUAGGGAAUUUUCGGCAAUGGACGAAAGUUUGCCCGGGCAACGCCGGGUGAUUGAAAAAGGUUUUCGGACCGUAAACCUCUGUUGGUAGAGAAGAACGUUGGUGAGAGGGGAAAGCUCAUCAAGUGACGGUAACUACCCAGAAAGGAACGGCUAACUACGU
rnacentral:rRNA from 1 species